rfam:Hordeum vulgare subsp. vulgare, WGS project CAJW01000000 data, contig: morex_contig_1561309
CUUAUACUCCCUCCGUUCGGAAAUACUCGUCGGAAAGAUGGGUGUAUCUAUACGUAUUUUACUUUUAGAUACAUCCAUUUCAAUUUAUUUUGACGGCAAGUAAUUUUGGACGGAGGGAGUAGAUA